rnacentral:rRNA from 2 species
AUGGACGCAAGUCUGAUGGAGCAACGCCGCGUGAGUGAAGAAGGCUUUCGGGUCGUAAAACUCUGUUGUUGGAGAAGAAUGGUCGGCAGAGUAACUGUUGUCGGCGUGACGGUAUCCAACCAGAAAGCCACGGCUAACUACGUGCCAGCAGCCGCGGUAAUACGUAGGUGGCAAGCGUUAUCCGGAUUUAUUGGGCGUAAAGCGAGCGCAGGCGGUUUUUUAAGUCUGAUGUGAAAGCCCUCGGCUUAACCGAGGAAGUGCAUCGGAAACUGGGAAACUUGAGUGCAGAAGGGGACAGUGGAACUCCAUGUGUAGCGGUGAAAUGCGUAGAUAUAUGGAAGAACACCAGUGGCGAAGGCGGCUGUCUGGUCUGUAACUGACGCUGAGGCUCGAAAGCAUGGGUAGCGAACAGGAUUAGAUACCCUGGUAGUCCAUGCCGUAAACGAUGAAUGCUAGGUGUUGGAGGGUUUCCGCCCUUCAGUGCCGCAGCUAACGCAUUAAGCAUUCCGCCUGGGGAGUACGACCGCAAGGUUGAAACUCAAAGGAAUUGACGGGGGCCCGCACAAGCGGUGGAGCAUGUGGUUUAAUUCGAAGCAACGCGAAGAACCUUACCAGGUCUUGACAUCUUUUGAUCACCUGAGAGAUCAGGUUUCC